UACGUAGGGACCAAGCGUUGUUCGGAUUUACCGGGCGUAAAGGGCGCGUAGGCGGCAAUUCAAGUCAUCUGUGAAAUCUCCGGGCUUAACCCGGAACGGUCAGAUGAUACUGCUUUGCUAGAGUGCGGAAGGGGCAAUCGGAAUUCUUGGUGUAGCGGUGAAAUGCGUAGAUAUCGGGAGGAACACCGGUGGCGAAGGCGGCCCCCUGGUUGGAUACUGACGCUGAGACGCGAAAGCGUGGGGAGCAAACAGG
rnacentral:rRNA from 1 species